AUUUGAGCUGUGGCGGACGCGCGCGGAAAAAAAGCGUCGACGUGUUUCGAAUCAGGUAUAAAUGGCAGCUGACUAGACUCGUUGUGAGAUUGCUAAAAAAAACUGUCCGUGGAAUAUUUACCUGCUUUAUACGAUUCUUGCUAUUAUGGGUAAAAUUGUUACCGUAAGUUCGGCCAGGGUCAGGAAAAUAAGUCCAAUACCUUACAAAGUGUCACCGACAGAGAAAACUCGUGAUAAAAAGAUCGCAGAAGAAGAAGAAUGUUUUCAAUUAAUGAAGCAACUAUGCAAUAUAGUUCCGAUAUCACCAAAACUCCAGCAGAGCGAGGCAACUUAUACGGACCUGAUAGAACACGCAGUCGAUUAUAUAUGCGAUCUAGAGCAAGAACUGGGGCCAGAAAUGUUGUCAGCACUCCAUCAGCAUCCAGAUUUUUGCAAGCUUAUGUCCUACAAAUAGUAAGACAUAAAAAGUGGAAUAGAAGAAAUGCUACACAAUCAACUUUAUUAUAUUUUAUUGAGCUUCGAACACCACCGCCAUCUUCUUCUUUUAUGAUAUCUAUUGUAAAUAUAUGCCGCACAAUCUAUUUCGCCAUUGCUUUUUAAAGAAUUCUACGUUAUUUGCAAGGAAUUUUCAUUUGAUGGCUUUAUGAUAAAGCAAACUGCAAUCAAUGAAAACGAAUUUACUGCAAACGUCGUCUUCGCGAGUCGCGUCAUUUUAAACAAUAUGGCGGACAAGACAACGUUUUGUGAAGUACAACAAAGGACUCUGCAUAUAAAUCACCUUUUGUUUCUAGGUUGCUUAACUCGUGUUAAAAUUCAAGCAAGUUCGCCUUUCUUUUCUUAAAGUAUAUAAAUGGGAACUAUUCAUAUAAUGCCACAUGCCGACACCGAACUAAACAUAAAAUAAGUUCUUUAAAUACCUGUAUUAAGUUGUUUUAGCAUGAAAUACGUGCCUAAUUUGUUACCAUGUAUGACACUGGCAAGCCAAUUAUCCUCCCGUAUAUCUGCUGCAAUUUUUCAGUUUACAAGUUGGAUUGCUUUCACCGUAUUCAGGCUGCUGCACGAUAAGGUGUAUCGUUUUUGUCAUUAUAAUAUCUAAGUUCAGAUUCUAAUUGUAGUGUAUGUUGCUUGCUGUUAUCUUCUAUGUCUUCCAUGUAGCUUACAGCAUUUUGAUUGUUUCGCAAAUAAUUUUACCACUUUAGAAUAAAUACAUCACAAAGUGCCAACCAUUUUAAGUUAUACAAGUCACCAAGUGCCAUUUUAAUUCCUGCUGUUUAAAAAUUCAUGAAACUGUCAAAUACGGUUUACACGAUGGUGUAAACCUAAACCUUUGUAUAUGCACAAAGCACAUCUGAGUUUCACGAUUUUUGUACGGCAAUCGAUUAAAGAGUUAUUCAUAUGAUUAUUCGUUUCUCUUUUAUGCAAUAAAUAUGAUUUUUCCUGUUGAA